AGAGUUUGAUCAUGGCUCAGGAUGAACGCUGGCGGCGUGCCUAACACAUGCAAGUCGAGCGGCAGCGCGAGUAGUUUACUACUUGGCGGCGAGCGGCGAACGGCUGAGUAACGCGUGGGAAUUUGCCCCAAAGUGAGGAAUAACUGCCCGAAAGGGUGGCUAAUGCCGCAUAUGAUCUUCGGAUUAAAGGAUUUAUCCGCUUUGGGAGAAGCCCGCGUCGGAUUAGGUAGUUGGUGAGGUAAUAGCUCACCAAGCCGACGAUCCGUAGCUGGUCUGAGAGGAUGACCAGCCAGACUGGAACUGAGACACGGUCCAGACUCCUACGGGAGGCAGCAGUGAGGAAUCUUCCACAAUGGGCGAAAGCCUGAUGGAGCAACGCCGCGUGCAGGAUGAAGGCCUUCGGGUUGUAAACUGCUUUUAUAAGUGAGGAAUAUGACGGUAGCUUAUGAAUAAGGAUCGGCUAACUACGUGCCAGCAGCCGCGGUCAUACGUAGGAUCCGAGCGUUAUCCGGAGUGACUGGGCGUAAAGAGUUGCGUAGGCGGUUUGUUAAGUGAAUAGUGAAAUCUGGUGGCUCAACCAUACAGGCUAUUAUUCAAACUGGCAAACUCGAGAGUGGUAGAGGUCACUGGAAUUUCUUGUGUAGGAGUGAAAUCCGUAGAUAUAAGAAGGAACACCGAUGGCGUAGGCAGGUGACUGGACCAUUUCUGACGCUAAGGCACGAAAGCGUGGGGAGCGAACCGGAUUAAGAUACCCGGGUAGUCCACGCCGUAAACGAUGGAUACUGGCUGUUGGAGGUAUCGACCCCUUCAGUAGCGAAGCUAACGCGUUAAGUAUCCCGCCUGUGGAGUACGGUCGCAAGACUAAAACAUAAAGGAAUUGACGGGGACCCGCACAAGCGGUGGAUAGUGUUAUUUAAUUCGAUGCUAAACGAAGAACCUUACCAGGGCUUGACAUCCAGGGAAUUUUUGGGAAACCAAGUAGUACCUUUUGGAGCCGUGUGACAGGUGAUUCAUGGCCGUGGUUAGCUAGCGUUGUGAGAUGUUUGGUUAAGUCCAUCAACGAGCGCAAUCCUUGCAAUUAGUUGGAUUUUUGCAGUUGGACUGCUUCGGUAACGGAGAGGAAGGAGGGGAGGAAGUCAGGUCAGUAUUUCCCUCACGUCGUGGGCUGGAAACACGAUACAAUGGAUAGUACAAUGCGCAGCAAAGCCGCGAGGUGGAGCAAAUCGCAUCAAAGCUAGUCCCAGAUUGGAUAGGAGGCUGAAACUCGCCUCCACGAAGUCGGAAUCGCUAGCAAUCGCAGAUCAGCAAGCUGCGGUGAAUACGUUCCCGGGUCUGUACACACCGCCCGUCA
rnacentral:rRNA from 1 species